CAGAAGCGUAUAUUAAUGUUGUUGCAGUUAAAACGCUCGUAGUUGGAUUUUGGAGGACGGGAAGGGUGCUGUCCGGCUAAAGCCGAGUACGGACCCACCGCCUCUGUAGUUGGCGGCGACGCACGCGGGGCCUUAAUUGGUUGCCGGGUGAGCUGGAGGGGUAUUACCCGAAGGCGAGGCCGCGGGCGCGGGGUAAUAGCCGCGGCUCGGGGCAGCGUUCCGCCUCAUUUACUUUGAAAAAAAUAGAGUGCUCAAAGCAGGCCUCGGGGCCAUUGAAUAAUUCAGCAUGGGAUAAUAGAACACGAGAUUGAAGAUCGUUUUGUUGGUAACAGCGAUUUCAAACUAAUGAUUAAAAGGGACCGUCGGGGUGGUUUGUAUUGGGGAGCUAGAGGUGAAAUUCUUGGAUUUCCUCAAGACAAACAACUGCGAAAGCAAUCUACUAGGAGGUUCUCAUUAA
rnacentral:rRNA from 1 species